rnacentral:misc_RNA from 1 species
AAGUUAGUUCUCAUCGAUGUUGUCAGGUGUGUUUUGUGUCAGCUCCUUCCUCCUAACCAUUAUAGCGUAUGCAUCUCCUUGGAUUUUUGGUCCACAAAAGUUUCCUUGUCAUGCCUUCGGGUGUGAGUGUGGAUAAACAACUUAGUUGGAGUUGGCUUUCAACUCAAUUCUUUCUCCAAUUUAUCAAACCAUUUAGCAUAUGUUAUGGAUUCGCUUGUGUGGGUGGACAGUCCAAGAGCAUUUGCAACACCACAGCAGUUUCUAGAAUAUAUCUUUGACCGCCGAAUGACCUUGGGGUCAUUCCAGUGCUGCUCAAAUUUUGCCCAAGUUUCUUCAAAAAUGUACGAUGGCCUUUUUUGAAAUUCUUUACAUCUGCAAUCAUGUCCUUGUAACGCACAUCUACCUUUGCUCUCCAUGCAGCCUUUGUCCCUCCUUCUUCGAAGGACUCCCAAAAGUAUUUUUUCUUAAAUUCUUCCCAGUAAAAUUCUUUU